rnacentral:rRNA from 1 species
UACGUAGGGGGCAAGCGUUGUCCGGAUUUAUUGGGCGUAAAGGGCGCGUAGGCGGUUUCUAAGUUUGGAGUGACAGUGGGUGGCUUAACUACCCAAGGCCUCUGAAAACUGGGGAACUUGAGGACCAGAGAGGGACAUAGAAUUCCGGGUGGAGUGGUGAAAUGCGUAGAUAUCCGGAGGAAUACCAAAGGCGAAGGCAGUGUCCUGGAGGGUGACUGACGCUGAGGCGCGAAAGCUAGGGGAGCGAACAGG